GAUGAACGCUGACAGCAUGCUUAACACAUGCAAGUCGACUGUGGCGGACGGGUGAGUAACGCGUAAAGAACUUGCCUCCCAGUUAGGGACAACCUUUGGAAACGAAUGCUAAUACCUGAUACUGUGAGAGAGCUUUGCGUCCCAGUGGCUAGUUGGAGAGGUAACGGCUCACCAAGGCGAUGAUGGGUAGCCGGCCUGAGAGGGUGAUCGGCCAAAAGGGGACUGAGACACGGCCCUUACUCCUACGGGAGGCAGCAGUGGGGAAUAUUGGACAAUGGACCAAAGUCUGAUCCAGCAAUUCUGGGUGCACGAUGAAGUUUUCGGAAUGUAAAGUGCUUUCAGUUGGGAAGCGGUACCAACAGAAGAAGUGACGGCUAAAUACGUGCCAGCAGCCGCGGUAAUAC
rnacentral:rRNA from 1 species